rnacentral:rRNA from 1 species
UACGUAGGUGACGAGCGUUAUCCGGAAUUACUGGGCGUAAAGCGCACGCAAGCGGUUGGACAAGUCUGGCGUGAAAUCUCCUGGCUUAACUAGGAGCGGUCGCUGGAAACUGUCGAGCUUGAGGCGAUGAGAGGGGUGCAGAAUUCCCGGUGUAGUGGUGGAAUGCGUAGAGAUCGGGAGGAAUACCAGUGGUGAAAGCGGCACCCUGGCGUCGUACUGACGCACAUGUGCGAAAGCGUGGGGAGCGAACGGG